GGUCCUUGUGUGUAUAAGACACACACCCACGCACAUUUGGGAGAAGGGGGUAGUCAGUGUCUCUUUACAUUGCAGCGGUACGUUAAACCCCGUCUGGGUUAUUUUAAGCCUGAAGUUCAUGAAAGGAAACAUUUGAGUAAGUUAAGGCUGUGUUGAAUGCCGCGUUCCUUAUGACCUUGCCAUCUGAAUGUGAUGGUGGUUCCCAGAAGAAACAAACAGGCAAGAGGUUAAAGACAGAGUUCUAGACCCAGCCCUUGCUGUGUGACCCUGAGUGAGUCACUGUAUGUCUCUGAGCCCCAUUUCCCGCCGCGGAGUUGAAAGAAGGGUCUUAUCGAAUUCAGCCUUUGUCCUGCUGCCAUUUGUCAUGGGAAAUCUUUCCAGGGACUGGCACUCUGACUUGGUUGGAAAGCCAAGGGUAUUGAGCCCACAUCAAUAGAAGGAAGGUUUGCAAGCCAAGUCUACACCUGCCCUCUGCCGUGCCCAACAGAGGGGAGACAGUCUGGGGAUUAUUUACCCCUGGAACUUUUGCUGCAAUAAAUAAAGCAAUGCUGGAGGCUUGAAGGAGUUUAAAGACUAACAGGGGAGAUAAUAAUUGUUACUAUGCACCAGGCAGGGUUCUAAGUCCUUUGCAUAAAUUAACCCACUUAAGCCUCCCAACAGCUCCCUGAGGUUGGAUACUAUUAGCCCAUUUUUACAGGUGGGUAAACUGAGGUACGGGGGGUUAAAUAAUUUGCCUAAGAUCAUA
rnacentral:lncRNA from 1 species